rnacentral:rRNA from 1 species
UACGGAGGGGGGCUAGCGUUAUUCGGAAUUACUGGGCGUAAAGGGCGCGUAGGCGGUUCGCUAAGUCGGAUGUGAAAACUCUGGGCUCAACCCAGAGCCUGCAUCCGAAACUGGCGGGCUAGAGUUCUGGAGGGGGUAGCGGAAUUCCUGGUGUAGCGGUGAAAUGCGCAGAUAUCAGGAGGAACACCGGUGGCGAAGGCGGUUCUCUGGGCAUGUCCUGACGCUGAGACGCGAAAGCGCGGGGAGCGAACGGG